rnacentral:rRNA from 1 species
ACCAGACUUGGACCCGGUGAAUCAUCCAGCGUUCUCGCUGGUGCACUUUGCCGGGCUCAGGCCAGCAUCGGUUCAGGUGGCGGGAUAAAGGCCUUGGGAAUGUAGCUUCUUUCGGGGAGUGUUAUAGCCCUCGGUGCAAUGCCGCCUACCUAGACCGAGGACCGCGCUUCGGCUAGGAUGCUGGCGUAAUGGUUGUAAGCGA